GGCAGGGUAGCUCAGUGGUAGAGCAGCGGACUCAUAAGCCGUUGGUCGUGAGUUCAAAUCUCACCCCUGCCA
rnacentral:tRNA from 7 species